rnacentral:rRNA from 1 species
AGAGUUUGAUCCUGGCUCAGGAUGAACGCUGGCGGCGUGCCUAACACAUGCAAGUCGAACGGAGCUUAGUUUUUGGAGACUUCGGUCAAAGAAGUUUAAGCUUAGUGGCGGACGGGUGAGUAACGCGUGGAGAACCUGCCCUGUACUGGGGGGAUAACAGUGAGAAAUCACUGCUAAUACCGCAUAAGCGCACGGAGCCGCAUGGCUCAGUGUGAAAAACUCCGGUGGUACAGGAUGGCUCCGCGUUGGAUUAGCCAGUUGGCGGGGUAACGGCCCACCAAAGCGACGAUCCAUAGCCGGCCGGAGAGGGUGAACGGCCACAUUGGGACUGAGACACGGCCCAGACUCCUACGGGAGGCAGCAGUGGGGAAUAUUGCACAAUGGGGGAAACCCUGAUGCAGCGACGCCGCGUGAAGGAAGAAGUAUCUCGGUAUGUAAACUUCUAUCAGCAGGGAAGAUGAUGACGGUACCUGACUAAGAAGCCCCGGCUAACUACGUGCCAGCCGCGGC